AUGUGGGCACCUGAUAUCUAUGAGGGUUCACCCACCCCGGUGACAGCAUUCCUUUCUAUUGCGCCUAAAAUCUCUAUUUCUGCAAAUAUGUCACGUGUUUCUAUUGUUGCUUCCUAUGGGGGUACAAUUCAACAAAUCUUCUUUUUCUGCAGCAUUGCUUCUAUGAUCUUAGGAGCACUGGCCGCCAUGGCCCAAACGAAAGUCAAAAGACCUCUAGCUCAUAGUUCGAUUGGACAUGUAGGUUAUAUUCGUACUGGUUUCUCAUGUGGAACCAUAGAAGGAAUUCAAUCACUACUAAUUGGUAUAUUUAUUUAUGCAUCAAUGACGAUAGAUGCAUUCGCCAUAGUUCCAGCAUUACGGCAAACCCGUGUCAAAUAUAUAGCGGAUUUGGGCGCUCUAGCCAAAGCAAAUCCUAUUUCGGCUAUGACCAUCCCCAUUACAAUGUUCUCAUACGCAGGAAUACCCCCGUUAGCCAGCUUUUGUAGCAAAUUCUAUUUGUUCUUCGCCGCUUUGGGUUGUGGGGCUUACUUCCUAGCCCCAGUGGGAGUAGUGACUAGCAUUAUAGGUCGUUGGGCGGCCGGAAGGUUGCCAUGA
rnacentral:rRNA from 1 species